CAGCAGCCGCGGUAAUACAGAGGGUGCAAGCGUUAUCCGGAAUGAUUGGGCGUAAAGCGUCUGUAGGUGGCUUUUCAAGUCCGCCGUCAAAUCCCAGGGCUCAACCCUGGACAGGCGGUGGAAACUACCAAGCUAGAGUACGGUAGGGGCAGAGGGAAUUUCCGGUGGAGCGGUGAAAUGCGUUGAGAUCGAAAAGAACACCAACGACGAAAGCACUCUGCUGGGUCGACACUGACACUGAGAGACGAAAGCUAGGGGAGCAAAUGGGAUUAGAUACCCCCGUAGUCCUGUCUCUUAUACA
rnacentral:rRNA from 1 species